rnacentral:tRNA from 1 species
GGGUAUAUAGCUCAGUGGUAGAGUGCAUGCCUAGCAUGCGGAAGGUCCUGGGUUCAAUCCCCAGUAUCUCCA